AAUCCAUAGGUUAAUGAGGCGAACCGGGGGAACUGAAACAUCUAAGUACCCCGAGGAAAAGAAAUCAACCGAGAUUCCCCCAGUAGCGGCGAGCGAACGGGGAGGAGCCCAGAGCCUGAAUCAGCAUGUGUGUUAGUGGAAGCGUCUGGAAAGGCGCGCGAUACAGGGUGACAGCCCCGUACACAAAAGCGCAUGUGCUGUGAGCUCGAUGAGUAGGGCGGGACACGUGGUAUCCUGUCUGAAUAUGGGGGGACCAUCCUCCAAGGCUAAAUACUCCUGACUGACCGAUAGUGAACCAGUACCGUGAGGGAAAGGCGAAAAGAACCCCGGCGAGGGGAGUGAAAAAGAACCUGAAACCGUGUACGUACAAGCAGUGGGAGCACAGGUUUACCUGUGUGACUGCGUACCUUUUGUAUAAUGGGUCAGCGACUUAUAUUCUGUAGCAAGGUUAACCGAAUAGGGGAGCCGGAGGGAAACCGAGUCUUAAUUGGGCGUUAAGUUGCAGGGUAUAGACCCGAAACCCGGUGAUCUAGCCAUGGGCAGGUUGAAGGUUGGGUAACACUAACUGGAGGACCGAACCGACUAAUGUUGAAAAAUUAGCGGAUGACCUGUGGCUGGGGGUGAAAGGCCAAUCAAACCGGGAGAUAGCUGGUUCUCCCCGAAAGCUAUUUAGGUAGCGCCUCGUGAAUUCAUCUCCGGGGGUAGAGCACUGUUUCGGCUAGGGGGCCAUCCCGGCUUACCAACCCGAUGCAAACUGCGAAUACCGGAGAAUGUUAUCACGGGAGACACACGGCGGGUGCUAACGUCCGUCGUGAAGAGGGAAACAACCCAGACCGCCAGCUAAGGUCCCAAAGUCAUGGUUAAGUGGGAAACGAUGUGGGAAGGCCCAGACAGCCAGGAUGUUGGCUUAGAAGCAGCCAUCAUUUAAAGAAAGCGUAAUAGCUCACUGGUCGAGUCGGCCUGCGCGGAAGAUGUAACGGGGCUAAACCAUGCACCGAAGCUGCGGCAGCGACACUGUGUGUUGUUGGGUAGGGGAGCGUUCUGUAAGCCUG
rnacentral:rRNA from 1 species